rnacentral:rRNA from 1 species
GGGGACCUGCACAAAUGGUGGAUCAUGUUGUUUAAUUCGUCACUACACGUUGAACCUUACCAAGGCUUGACAUCUCCUGCAAAGUUAUAGAAAUAUAAUGGAGGUUAACAGGAUGACAGGUGGUGCAUGGUUGUCGUCAGUUCGUGUCGUGAGAUGUUGGGUUAAGUCCCGCAACGAACGCAACCCUUGUUACUAGUUAAUUUUUCUAGUAAGACUGCUUAUGCAAAUAAGAGGAAGGUGGGGAUGACGUCAAAUCAUCAUGCCCCUUAUGUCUUGGGCUACAAACGUGGUACAAUGGCUGUUACAAACCGUUACCAAACCGCAAGGUGGAGUUAAUCGGAAAAAGGCAGUCUCAGUUCGGAUCGAGGGCUGCAAUUCGCCCUCGUGAAGUUGGAAUCAUUAGUAAUCUCAAAUCAGACAUGUUGAGGUGAAUACGUUCCCAGGUCUUGUACACACCGCCCGUCGCACUAUGAGAGCCGUUAAUACUUAAAAGCAUUUAUCUA